rnacentral:rRNA from 1 species
CCUACGGGUGGCAGCAGUGAGGAAUAUUCGUCAAUGGGCGCGAGCCUGAACCAGCAAAGUCGCGUGAGGGAAGACGGUCCUAUGGAUUGUAAACCUCUUUUGUCGGGGAGCAAAAGACGCCACGCGUGGCGUUCCGAGAGUACCCGAAGAAAAAGCAUCGGCUAACUCCGUGCCAGCAGCCGCGGUAAUACGGAGGAUGCGAGCGUUAUCCGGUUUUAUUGGGUUUAAGGGGUGCGCAGGCGGAAGAUCAAGUUAGCGGUAAAAUUGAGAGGCUCAACCGCGUCGGGCCGUUGAAACUGGUUUUCUUGAGUGAGCGAGAGGUAUGCGGAAUGCGUGGUGUAGCGGUGAAAUGCAUAGAUAUCACGCAGAACACCGAUUGCGAAGGCAGCAUACCGGCGCUCAACUGACGCUGAUGCACGAAAGUGUGGGUAUCGAACAGGAUUAGAUACCCGGGUAGUC